rnacentral:rRNA from 1 species
GACGAACGCUGGCGGCGUGCUUAACACAUGCAAGUCGAACGGAAAGGCCCUGCUUUUGUGGGGCGGCCGAGUGGCGAACGGGUGAGUAACACGCGAGUAAACUGCCCUUGACUUUGGGAUAACUUCAGGAAACUCGGGCUCAAACCGGAUAGGAGCUCCUGCUGAAUGGUGGGGGUUGGAAAGUUUCGGCGGUUGGGGAUGGACUCGCAGCUUAUCAGCUUGUUGGUGGGGUAGUGGCUUACCAAGGCUUUGAAGGAUAGCCGGCCUGAGAGGGUGACCGGCCACAGUAAUGCUGAGAUACGGCCCAGACUGCAACGGGAGGCAACAGUGGAAAAUAUUGCGCAAUGGACGGAAGCCUGAGGCAGCAACGCCGCGGGCGGGAAGACGGCCUUCUAGUUGAAAACCGAUUUCGCCUGUGACGAAGAGAGAGUGACGGUAAUGGGUAAAGAAGCACCGGCUAACUACGUG